rnacentral:rRNA from 1 species
GGUGAACGCUGGCGGUAGGCCUAACACAUGCAAGUCGAACGGCAGCACAGUAAGAGCUUGCUCUUACGGGUGGCGAGUGGCGGACGGGUGAGGAAUACAUCGGAAUCUACUUUUUCGUGGGGGAUAACGUAGGGAAACUUACGCUAAUACCGCAUACGACCUACGGGUGAAAGCAGGGGAUCUUCGGACCUUGCGCGAUUGAAUGAGCCGAUGUCGGAUUAGCUAGUUGGCGGGGUAAAGGCCAACCAAGGCGGCGAUCCGUAGCUGGUCUGAGAGGAUGGUCAGCCACACUGGAACUGAGACACGGUCCAGACUCCUACGGGAGGCAGCAGUCGGGAAUAUUGGACAAUGGGGGCAAGCCUGAUCCAGCCAGACCGCGUGGGUGAAGAAGGCCUUCGGGUUGUAAAGCCCUUUUGUUGGGAAAGAAAAGCAGCAGGUUAAUACCCCGCUGUUCUGACGGUACCCAAAGAAUAAGCACCGGCUAACUUCGUG